rnacentral:rRNA from 1 species
CGUAGGGUGCAGGCGUUAAUCGGAAUUACUGGGCGUAAAGCGUGCGCAGGCGGUCUACUAAGACAGGUGUGAAAUCCCCGGGCUUAACCUGGGAACUGCGCUUGUAACUGGUAGGCUUGAGUGUGGCAGAGGGGGUGGAAUUCCACGUGUAGCAGUGAAAUGCGUAGAGAUGUGGAGGAACACCGAUGGCGAAGGCAGCCCCCUGGGCUAACACUGACGCUCAUGCACGAAAGCGUGGGGAGCAAACAGGAUUAGAUACCCUGGUAGUCCACGCCCUAAACUAUGUCAACUGGUUGUCGGGGAAGCAAUUCCUUGGUAACGAAGCUAACGCGUGAAGUUGACCGCCUGGGGAGUACGGCCGCAAGGUUA